AUAUAAAGCCCAUUUAGGUUAUCCCUAGAAUUCUGUUCUUACAGAUUGUCCAUAAAGAACAGCAUACAACAGAUAAGGAUGAAAUCUGCAAAGAUGAGAAAGCAAAGGCUCUGCUACAGUUUCUCCGAUGUCGUUCCAACCCUCCUAGGUGAUGACCCACAAGGUGGUAAAUAAUCCUGGAAGAAACCACAGGCAGUGAAAAAUAGCUACUUCAAACGACAAGACCGCAGCUUCUAAUCCUCUUGUGUAUGAGUGAAGCCCGUUGUAGCCAUUCGAUGUAACGGAAGACAUCUGCCAUCUUCAGACCUGCCUCAAUUGUUGAACAAGAUUCUCCACAUGCACACCCCAGACCCCUGUCCACACAGCAGGAUGCAGGAGGCUGAGAUGGAAAAGCCACAUUAAUUAUUAGAGCAGUAAAGAAGGCAAGAGCCUGUGCCAUGAUCUUGAAACAUAUAAAGAAUUUACUGUAAAAGAACUUUCUGUUUUUUUGUUUCCCUGUGGUUGGUCGAGAGGGUGAUACAGAGGAAGGAGCAAGAGAAUAAAAAUCUAGAUCUUCUGAGCUCAGGAACACGAAG